GGUUCGAUGCCGUGACGACGGUAGCUAAAUAGCCGUGACCCGUAUUGUGCUAUGAUUGAACCGAGAGCGAGGAUCUUCUGUUUCGCAUUCUGAUAGGAACCUGUGGAUCCUAAUUUUUUACUGGUCCACGGAGCCGUUUUACUGCGAUUACAUUU